AUUAAAAACUGGGGAAAUCGAGCCCAAUUUGCCCAAACUACCAGUUCUAACGUGAUCAAAAGUGCCAGCCCAAAAUUGGUAGCAAGCUUAAUACUCAUUCAUUGCCAAAUUGUAGGAUCGAUUUUGUCUAAUUUUUGCCUGUUGGGCCAGGCCCUGAAGUUUUAUGGUUAGAGUUCAACAUAGUGUGCCCACAUCAAUGUUCACUCUUUGUGGAAAUAAAUCUAAGCAUUUGAAGUUGGGUAGCUUUGAAGAAGUUAAAAAAUCAUGAGUUCAUAUGAUGGUUCUCUUUUUAUAACUUGUGCAGGAGAAAAGUUAUUCAAGCAUUGUCUUACAAAGUGUUUUCACUACUUCAAUUUUAAUUUGUUGUGUGACAUGAGGUUUCUCUUGCCCUACAAAAGGUUGUGGAAAUAUGAUGUAAUUUCAAGUAGUAUUGUAAAUAGUAUGCUUGUGUAAUCAAAAGAUACCUCCUAGUGGUGCUAAUACAGCAUGAAGAUUCUUCAAUUUAGGCUUGAUCUUUUUUAAAAUAUAACAAAUUUCGAAUAAUUGGUAUUUUGAAAAUCUUAUUGACUGCAUGAUUAUUUGAAAAAUCAAGUUUAUAAUUCAUGGUUAAUGAUAUCUUUUUCUUGCUGAGGAUGGGUCACAAAAACAAUUAAGUCACUUCAUUCAUGUCUCAGGGUGAAAUAUUUAAUCAAAUAAAUGAAAACAGCAAACUAGAAACUUUAAAGAAUCAUAAUCUAAUUGUAGCAAUCAGCUCUAUUUUCAUAUAGAUAUAUAUUUUACACUAAAGACAUCACACUGAUACAAACAUUUUGUAUCACACUUGUAUUUACAAGUCUACAAUAAUAUUAAGUUAUAAAUAAUUGUGUAAUUUAUAUGUUACUUACAGUGUAUUUAACUUUAAAAUUUGAAUGUUUCACCAAAUAUGUACAAACAUUUAACUUAUCUAUGAAAUGUACACACACAUAUAUAAUUUGAUACAAUGUGAUUAGUGUUGUAAUGGUGUCAUUCAAAACAAUUUAAAUUUUGAAGAUGUGUAGCAUGUGUAUAAUUUGUGCAUUGUAUGGGCGUUAGUCUGAUCAUUUCCACAAGAAAAGACAAAGAAAAGGA
rnacentral:lncRNA from 1 species